UACGUGAGGGGCGAGCGUUGUCCGGAUUCAUUGGGCGUAAAGCGCGCGUAGGCGGCUCGACAAGUCGGCCUGAAAUCUCCAGGCUCAACUUGGAGGGGUCGGGCGAGACUGUCGGGCUCGAGGUGGGCAGAGGGCAGUGGAAUUCCGGGUGUAGUGGUGGAAUGCGUAGAGAUCCGGAGGAACACCAGUGGCGAAGGCGGCUGCCUGGGUCUGGCCUGACGCUGAGGCGGCGAAAGCGUGGGGAUCAAACAGGG
rnacentral:rRNA from 1 species